rnacentral:rRNA from 1 species
CGGCAGCCUUAUACAUGCAAGUCGAACGAGAAAGUCACUUCGGUGGCGAGUACAGUGGCGCACGGGUGAGUAACGCGUAGAUGAUCUACCCUUCAGUCUGGGACAACUCUUGGAAACGGGAGCUAAUACCGGAUAAAACCUUCGGGUUGAAAGAUUUAUCGCUGGGGGAUGAGUCUGCGUACCAUUAGCUUGUUGGUGGGGUAACGGCCUACCAAGGCGACGAUGGUUAGCGGGUCUGAGAGGACGAUCCGCCACACUGGAACUGAGACACGGUCCAGACUCCUACGGGAGGCAGCAGUAGGGAAUAUUGCGCAAUGGGGGCAACCCUGACGCAGCAAUGCCGCGUGAGUGAAGAAGGCCUUCGGGUCGUAAAGCUCUUUUAUGGGGGAAGAUGAUGACGGUACCCCAUGAAUAAGCACCGGCUAACUACGUGCCAGCAGCCGCGGUAAUACGUAGGGUGCGAGCGUUGUUCGGAAUUACUGGGCGUAAAGGGCGUGCAGGCGGAUUGGCAAGCCGGAGGUGAAAGCCCGGGGCUCAACCCCGGAGGGUCUUUCGGAACUGCCAGUCUUGAGAGGGUCAGGGGCCAGCGGAAUUCCUGGUGUAGAGGUGAAAUUCGUAGAGAUCAGGAGGAACACCGGCGGCGAAAGCGGCUGGCUGGGGCCACUCUGACGCUGAGGCGCGAAAGCGUGGGGAGCAAACAGGAUUAGAUACCCUGGUAGUCCACGCCGUAAACGAUGGGCACUAAGCGUCCGACGGGUUCGA